rnacentral:rRNA from 1 species
GCGGAGGAAAAGAAACCAACAGGGAUUACCUUAGUAACGGCGAGUGAAGCGGUAAAAGCUCAAAUUUGAAAUCCUUAGGGAAUUGUAAUUUGAAGGUGGAGUCAAGGGAAGAACAAACAUUUAAGUCCAUUGGAACAUGGCGCCUUGGAGGGUGACAGCCCCGUGAAAUGUUUCCGUUUAACCUAUAUUUGACUCCUCCAAAGAGUCGAGUUGUUUGGGAAUGCAGCUCUAAGUGGGUGGUAAAUUCCAUCUAAAGCUAAAUAUUGGCGAGAGACCGAUAGCGAACAAGUACAGUGAUGGAAAGAUGAAAAGCACUUUGAAAAGAGAGUGAAACAGUACGUGAAAUUGUUGAAAGGGAAGGGCUUGCAAGCAGACACGAUUUCUUCGGGAAUUGGGCCAGCAUCGGUUGGCGGGGAUAGAUAAGUGGAAAGAAAUGUGGCACCAUUCUUUGAAUGCGUGUGUUAUAGACUUUUCAGAUAUAUCCACUGCCGACCGAGGCCUGCGUUAUCUUAACAAGGAUGCUGGCGUAAUGGUUGCAAGUCGCCCGUCUUG